GAGGAAAAUAACUGAAAUGAACCAAAAACAGAAACGCGAGUGAGGACAAACAGCCUUUCAUUUCCGAUUCCGCUGAAAGGUUUGCAGGAGGCGGCAUUGUCCCCUCUCCGCCCACGCGACUCCGUCCUUCGUUUGCAGUGGGACGAGGUGGCGUCCUGUGAAGAGACUGCAGGGAGCUUCGAGGGAUUCAUGUUUUUGUUGUCCAGGUAUUCGUCAGUUUUGCUGCCAGGCUUUGACCUCAUCCUCCUAUAAGCUUUUCUUCGUCACGGCCUCGCUUUUCUUGGGAGUUUUGUUCUUAAAUCAGUGUUUUUGAGAAACCAUUAAAUAAAAAUAGUCAAUUAAUUAAUCAACUAUGUAUUGUAAAUACAGCCUUCAAAUAGAUGUUGUGCAGAACAAAGUAUAAUAUUUCCCUCUGAAGUUUAGUGGCAUUGAAUUAGAAAGUGACAUGUACAAAUACGUCCCAUCUUAACAUGUACUCAAUACAAUCCCUGAGUGAUUAAUUUAGUCACAUUCCACCAGUGCAAAACAAAAAGAGUUCCUCUCAGUGCCAGCAGACACAAAGCUUCUAUCUAUAGGCUUCACAGAAAAAGACAGACUGAAUUGAAGUUGUUUAUGUAAAAAACAAAAGAAAAGUCAAGUGACGGCACCACGCAUAAUGUACAAUAUAGCAUCUCAGACAUUUCAUGACAAACUGAUAUUAAUGGACAAUAUCUACAUUCAGAACAUAAUCCUCCACAGGGAAUAAGUUAGCGCCAUACAGUGAUGGAGAAACAUUUUUAAACUGUAGCGAACAUGAAAACUCACAGAGUUAUACUACGAGGCCCUCGGAGACCCCAAAACACAAACCUCGUACACAACGUCUGGGGAAGCUGGUGGCAGAACUGCUUUCUAAUGACAACAGACGUGAGAAGACAGGGAGAAAAUAAGUACAAAAACAGUGAGUAAAUAUACAUGACGGCUUUUGUUUCUUACAAAUAAAUAAGCUUGUAAAGGGAAAAGCAGAGGAAGGCUCUCAGAAAACAUUCAUCGGAGCGAAACAGGCUGUACAUGUUCAUCCCCGUCCCGUUUCAGGGACAGCGCCGGCAGCGUUAAGAACCUCCUGCUUGGGUAGAUUAGUGGCGGUGAGCAGAGAGACAGCAGACAUCCCCAGAUCAUCACUAACCUUCUGCACUUUUCAUGUGAACAUAAGUAGAUGCAUUAACGAAGAUCAGUCCCGCUGGCCCAUCCAUACAUCUAUUACAUAUUAAACACUGAUCCACUGUUCUCCUUUAAAAAAAAAA